rnacentral:misc_RNA from 1 species
AUAACAACCCGUCGAGCCGACUAGGCUUGGUCUUGGGGCUCGCCCGCAUUUGGCGCGGCGGCUCUUAAACGCAGUGGCGGUGCCGGUGGUGCUUUCCGCGUAGUCACAUUUCUCGCGCGAGGGCAGAAUCCGGACCCAGCCAGCAACCACAAAGUCCGCAGCGCUCUGCGCGGCGACUUUUGUACUUCUUCUGG